GAAAACAAAAAGCAGCGUUUUCCAUCCAUUUUGAGGGACCUAAAUGCUCCUUUUAAAACUUGAGGGACCUAACUACUCCUUUUGGCAAAGUUUAGGGACCUUCACUACAGUUUACUCUUAAUCAGAAUUUACUCACCCUUCUUCUUCAUCUUUACUCGAUCCUCUCUAACCAGAGAAGUUGUCCCUCACCAAGUCACCAUGUGACCAUGGAUACCUUGGAAGAUUUGUCUCCUACCGAAUUUCUGACAGCAAACUGAUAGAGAGUCAGCCAUGUAUACGGAGACGGAUCUUCCAUUUGAGAAAUGGACGGGGGGUGAUGUCGGCGAUCCCUUGACCGUGUAGCAUUCGGUGAGCCGUGACAAAGAAGCGGUCGCGGGGUGGUGGUGGGUUUGUUUAGAUAUCGACUCCUAACUUUUCAGAAGAUAAACUUCUAGCUUAUUAUCAACGACAAUCAUGGAAUAAUUGAUCUUGAUAAAAGAAUACGGAUUUGUUUUCAGCCAUUUUCGCCUUCAUAACGUCUGCACUUUUGCUGAUAUUUGUAUUUAUUCUUGCUGUAUUCAUCAAAACUUUCUCCGGUUAGUCUAUUCGCAGUCCAAACUAUCCACCAGUAAAGGGAACAAUCUUUCACCAACUGUUCUACUUCAAUAAAUUGUAUGAUCAACAAACUGGGACUGCUAGAAGACAUCCCACCUUUCGGCUGUUAGCGCCAGACCAGAGUGAAUUUUACACUACUGAUGUCAGAAACAUAAAAAACAUUCUGAAAACAAGCUUUGAUAAGUAUGCGAAAGGCAAGUAUAAUAGAGAUAUACUUAUUGGUCUGUUUGGGGAAGGAAUCGUUCCUGUUGAUGGAGAUAAGUGGAGGCAGCAGAGGAAUCUUUCGGGAUUUGAGUUCUCAGCUCGGGUAUUGAGAGAUUUCAGCUGUGUUUUCAGAAGAAAUGCUGCAAAAUUUGUCAGGAUUAUUUCGCAGAUUUCUAAGGCAAAUGACAUCUUAUACAUUCAUUUUUACUUGAGAAGACAUUGUGGGUAAGGAAAAGAUUCAUAUCAGUAAUUUGGUGGUCAUGUCGAUUCUGGAAAGUCAACCAUCACUUAUCACUUGAUCUACAAGUUUGGAGGUAUUGACAAGCGUGUGAUCGAGAGAUUUGAGAAGGAAGCUGCUGAGAUGAACAAGAGUCCUUCAAGUAUGCUUGGGUUCUUAACAAACUAAAGGAUGAGCGUGAACGUGGUAUUACCAUUGAUAUGGCCUUGUGGAAGUUAGAGACCAACAUGUACAACUGCACUGUGAUCGAUGCCUCUGGACACAGAGAUAUCAAGCGUGUAUAUGUGACAUCUGACUCCAAGAAAGACCCUGCUAAGGAGGCAACCAACUUCAAUGCUCAGGUCAUCCUCAUGAACCACCCUGGCCGGAUUGGAAAUGGAUACGCCCCAAAACUUAUGUUGAGGGUUUACAAACAUACAUCAAGAAGACAACUUAUGUUAGUGGAUGUCUGUAUGUGGCUUGUGAGUCCAAUUCAACGUUUAAUGAAGCCCUCCUUGUGGCUGAAAUGUCUGAUUAUGUUAUCUUAACUGUUGGCUUGGACUUGACCCAAGAAACAGAAGAUAAAGACCGCAUUACUCUUCUUCUUCCUGGCAAACAGAUGGACCUUUUAUCUUUGGUCGCUUCUGUUAGCAGAAAACACAUAAUAUUAGUCCUCACUGGGGGUGGACCCCUUGAUGUCUCGUUUGCUGAAGCAGAUUCACGAAUUGCUAGAAUUCUUUGGAUUGGGUAUCCUGGUGAAACCGGGGGUGAAGCACUCGCUGAAGUAAUCUUUGGUGAUUAUAAUCCAGGUUAGGAAUAAGAAAUAUCAUCUUUGAUUUCCUCUUUAAAUUUUGGUGUAGAUGAAUAUAAAAGGUUGUUUUUCCUCUUCCCUUUUCCUUUCUCCUUUUCAGUCAUCCCAUUUGUCUUUCCUAUGAGUGUCAGAAGUUGGUGGAGACUUUCUCCCAGUACCCACUAAUUCCGAGGAUAAUUCUUAUUUGAGUUGUUUGGUGCAAUAUUUGAUGCUUAGUUUAGCAUGCUGAUGUGAGUGGUUUGGAUUACAUAAUGUUGUGUUUCUUUGACAUAUUUUGACUUGAAGAUUUUUGGUCAUAAAUUCACAGAGCACUCUUUCUCCGUGAUUGAAUCAGCCUUUGUUGGAUUCUUACGGGGAACGACAAACUGUUGGAUUCUUACGGGGAACGACAAACUGUUGUAAUUAGGUCCAUCUGUAUACAAGAUUUAUUAAUUCAGGAUAUGAGUUUCUUUCACAAAUAUGGAAACAAUGGAGACAUAAGUAGCCAAGUCUUGAGUUAUGCGCUGCUUAUUCAACAUUAGUUUACUCUUUAUUUUUUUAUAUCUUCAUGAAUUAAAGUACGUGAUUUAUAUUGUUCAUUCUAACUUUUUGUGCUUUUGUGAGUUAGGUUAAUAAUUAUAUCCCCAACAUGGCAACAUUUUUCAGCGGUCUUGUUGUUAGAUUUAGCCGUUGUUGCCAGAUUUUGCUCAUCACUUUAGCAACAUGGCCAAUUGUUGUUGCAGCAGCAGGAAUUUCAAAUAUAUUCCUUCACAGGCUUGCGGAGAAUAUACAGGAUGCAUAUGCAGAGGCAUCAAGCAUUGCGGAGUAGAUUAUUUAUUGUUUUCUUUAGAACCAACUCUUGAAUAGAGAAACUAGAAUUGUGUUAAUCAAAUAGUCAAGUGAAGAUCAAAUUUUCUUUGGUUUGUGAUUUUUUAGGUGUGUGGCGUACGUGAUUUUAUGUCGGUUUCCAUGAUAGCCUUCAUUGUAGGAAAAAAGAGCAAGUGUCAAAAUCUUGUUCUAUAACUUUAUUGUGUAGGGCAUGUAGACCAUAUGCAUUUCUUUUCCCAUAGUUGGAUUGACUGUAUACUGUCUUUUCGCUUGUAAUUUUAAUGUACUCGAGUGGUUGUUGUUAGGAGACUUAAUACACAUAAUUUUGUAUCUA